GACGAACGCUGGCGGCGUGCUUAACACAUGCAAGUCGAGCGGUAAGGCCCUUUCGGGGUACACGAGCGGCGAACGGGUGAGUAACACGUGGGUGACCUGCCCUCAGCUCUGGGAUAAGCCUGGGGAACCGGGUCUAAUACUGGAUAUGACUCCAUGACGCAUGUUGUGGGGUGGAAAGCCUUGUGCGGCUGAGGAUGGGCCCGCGGCCUAUCAGCUUGUUGGGGGGUGA
rnacentral:rRNA from 1 species